CCGUCCUUUAUUUUAUUGACCUAAAACAAUGGCAGACACACAAGUUGACUCCGGCUCGGAUAUCUCUGCCAAGGACCUGAAAGAGAAGAAGCUGGUGGAGGAGAAGGAGAACGGUAAAGAUGCCGCCACCAACGGGAAGGAGAACGAGGAGAACGGCGAGCCCGACGUAGACGACGAAGAGGACGAGGAGGUGGAUGAGGAGGACGAGGAAGAUGACGGAGAAGGCGAAGAGGAAGACGAGGAGGACGAUGACGACGACAUCGAAGGCGGCACAAAACGGGCAGCUGAGGACGACGACGAAGACGACGAGGACGACGUCGAAACCAAGAAGCAGAAAUCCGGCUUCAACAACAAUAACAAACAACAACAAACAACAACAACAAAGGAGAAUUUGUUUGUAUUUUUAUUUACAUUUUAUAUUUUUGUACAUAUUGUUAAGGGGGGGGGGGGGGUCAGUUUCUCUCCCGGCAGCGAUCUCGUCAGACCAAAUCGGUGCUUCUUUAACGAAAGAUUUUACUUGGUUGACCGUGUCAGGAUCUGUCCGCAGAUACAACGUGUAAAAACAGUCAAAGACCUUUUAAAGCCGUUGAACUCAGAGCAUUCCAGUAAAUUUAAUGUAUGUACUUUAGCUGUACCAUAACUAGUUUGUUUGUAUGGGAGGGUAAGGCCAAAGAAAAGAGCCUCUUUUCUUUUUCCUGUUUUAUUUUCUUUGUUUUUGUCAGCGACUUUUGGUUUUAUGACGGCCUGUUUUGAUGUAUGUGCGAAGUUUGUUGUUUG
rnacentral:lncRNA from 15 species